UACGGGGGGAGCAAGCGUUGUUCGGAUUUACUGGGCGUAAAGGGCGCGUAGGCGGUCAGCACAAGUCAGUUGUGAAAUCUCCGGGCUUAACUCGGAAAGGUCACCUGAUACUGUGCGACUAGAGUGCAGAAGGGGCAACUGGAAUUCUCGGUGUAGCGGUGAAAUGCGUAGAUAUCGAGAGGAACACCUGCGGCGAAGGCGGGUUGCUGGGCUGACACUGACGCUGAUGCGCGAAAGCCAGGGGAGCGAACGGG
rnacentral:rRNA from 1 species